CAGCUGAGGAUAUAAGCCUCGUCCAUCCACUGCAGCAAGUCACCGAUCCAGAGGGAGCGGAUCUCAUCGGGGCCGGGAUUCUGUGUGGUAGCGUACUGCUGAGGCGCCUGCUGGGGCCACCCAGCCUGCGCCGGAGGGGCUUGCCCCUGCUGCUGUGGCGGCAUCAUCAUCCACUGCUGCGGCGGCUGCUGCUGGUACUGCUGCUGGGGAUCGGACGGAAUCUGUUGUGGUACCAAUCCUCCUGAUGGUUGCUGCAUCAUGGUGAAGAAAGGCGGGUGUUUGGG
rnacentral:lncRNA from 1 species